CACGUAGGGCGCAAGCGUUGUCCGGAAUUAUUGGGCGUAAAGAGCUCGUAGGUGGUUUGUUACGUCUGCUGUGAAAACCUAGGGCUUAACCCUGGGCUUGCAGUGGAUACGGGCAGACUAGAGGUAGGUAGGGGAGAAUGGAAUUCCUGGUGUAGCGGUGAAAUGCGCAGAUAUCAGGAGGAACACCGGUGGCGAAGGCGGUUCUCUGGGCAUUACCUGACGCUGAGGAGCGGAAGUGUGGGGAGCGAACAGG
rnacentral:rRNA from 1 species